AGGGCUAUGACUAGGGCGAAUAACCCCUGCUUGAAGCAUCUCGACCACCAGUUUUUCUAUUUCUUCUUUCUGCACAUGACCGUAUUUGUAAGGUCUUACGUUGAUAGGUUUAUGGUCAGGUAGGGUUAAUAUUCGGUGAUCAAUAGCUCUUUUUGGAGGUAAUUUCUUCGGUGUCUCAAAUAUCUCCGCAUAAUACUUGAGCAGGGAUCGGAUCAUAGAUAUUUCCUCCUCAUCUCCUUUUAAUCUUGUCCCCAGUUCAUAUUCAUUCUCUACUUCCAUCUCAUAAUUCUGGAAUUCUAAGAGGAAGCCUUGAUCUUCUAUAUGUAAGGAUUCAACUUGCUUACUUCACUAUUUCUCCCUUACAAUGGCCAAAAACAGAGGUAGCCCUCUGCUAUCUUUAUUUAUAUAUAGCCAAAAUGAGUACAGAAAAACAUAAAGAUUCAAGAAAAACAAGGAAUAAUAAAGACAAACCCAGCUUCCUCUAGGGAAAGACUGGAUAUUCCUCUAGGCUAAGCAGCCGCCAACUUCAGGAUAAAAAUAAAACCUACCUCCCCUAGACCUAAAAAACCUAUUUAUAUUCCUUCUCUCAUCUUUCUCUUAUUUCUGUGCCUGGGCCCCACCUGCACGAUCUCCUCCUCUUUUUCCUUCCUCAUUAUUAAUUUGUCCAAUUACUUUUCUGCCCCUCCUUUGAUAUGUAUGAAUAAUUGGAGGUCUUACA
rnacentral:lncRNA from 1 species